UACGAAGGGGGCUAGCGUUGUUCGGAAUUACUGGGCGUAAAGCGCACGUAGGCGGGUUGUUAAGUCAGGGGUGAAAUCCUGGAGCUCAACUCCAGAACUGCCUUUGAUACUGGCAACCUAGAGACUGGAAGAGGUUAGUGGAAUUCCCAGUGUAGAGGUGAAAUUCGUAGAUAUUGGGAGGAACACCGGUGGCGAAGGCGGGUCUCUGGGCAGUAACUGACGCUGAGGAGCGAAAGCGUGGGGAGCGAACAGG
rnacentral:rRNA from 1 species